rnacentral:rRNA from 1 species
CAGCAGCCGCGGGAAUACGUAGGGUGCGAGCGUUAAUCGGAAUUACUGGGCGUAAAGCGUGCGCAGGCGGCUUUGCAAGACAGAUGUGAAAUCCCCGGGCUCAACCUGGGAACUGCAUUUGUGACUGCAAGGCUAGAGUACGGUAGAGGGGGAUGGAAUUCCGCGUGUAGCAGUGAAAUGCGUAGAUAUGCGGAGGAACACCAAUGGCGAAGGCAAUCCCCUGGACCUGUACUGACGCUCAUGCACGAAAGCGUGGGGAGCAAACAGGAUUAGAUACCCCAGUAGUCCCUGUCUCUUAUAC